UGACGUUCUCAGGGCGGGGUGCAAGUCCCCACCGGCGGUAAUGGCGCGCAAUGCGUCUAGCCCGCGAGCGCUUGCCACGACCGGCUUUCACGGCGGAGCGGCAAGGUCAGCAGACCCGGUGCGAUUCCGGGGCCGACGGUAACAGUCCGGAUGAAGAGAGAACGGGA
rnacentral:ncRNA from 2 species